AGCUUUGCGCAGUGGCAGUAUCGUAGCCAAUGAGGUUUAUCCGAGGCGCGAUUAUUGCUAAUUGAAAACUCAAGGAGACAUU
rnacentral:snRNA from 1 species